GCGCGUGGGUAACCUGCCUCAUACAGGGGGAUAACAGUUAGAAAUGACUGCUAAUACCGCAUAAGCGCACAAAACCGCAUGGUUUGGUGUGAAAAACUGAGGUGGUAUGAGAUGGACCCGCGUCUGAUUAGCUAGUUGGAGAGGUAACGGCUCACCAAGGCAACGAUCAGUAGCCGACCUGAGAGGGUGACCGGCCACAUUGGGACUGAGACACGGCCCAAACUCCUACGGGAGGCAGCAG
rnacentral:rRNA from 1 species